AUACUUACCUGGCAGGGGGGAUACCAUGAUCAUGAAGGCGGUUUUCCCAGGGCGAGGCUUAUCCAUUGCACUCCGGAUGUGCUGACCCCUGCGAUUUCCCCAAAUGUGGGAAACUCGACUGCAUAAUUUGUGGUAGUGGGGGACUGCGUUCGCGCUUUCCCCUG
rnacentral:snRNA from 1 species